ACGGAGGCAGCAGUGGGGAAUAUUGCACAAUGGAGGAAACUCUGAUGCAGCGACGCCGCGUGAGUGAAGAAGUAUUUCGGUAUGUAAAGCUCUAUCAGCAGGAAAGAAAAUGACGGUACCUGACUAAGAAGCCCCGGCUAACUACGUGCCAGCAGCCGCGGUAAUACGUAGGGGGCAAGCGUUAUCCGGAUUUACUGGGUGUAAAGGGAGCGUAGACGGCGAAGCAAGUCUGAAGUGAAAGCUCGGGGCUCAACCCCGGAACUGCUUUGGAAACUGUUUUGCUGGAGUGCAGGAGAGGUAAGCGGAAUUCCUAGUGUAGCGGUGAAAUGCGUAGAUAUUAGGAGGAACACCAGAGGCGAAGGCGGCUUACUGGACUGUAACUGACGUUGAGGCUCGAAGGCGUGGGGAGCAAACAGGAUUAGAUACCCUGGUA
rnacentral:rRNA from 1 species